rnacentral:rRNA from 1 species
GACGAACGCUGGCGGCGUGCUUAACACAUGCAAGUCGAACGGAAAGGCCUUGCUUUUGUGGGGUGCUCGAGUGGCGAACGGGUGUGUAACACGUGAGUAACCUGCCCCUGACUUUGGGAUAACUUCAGGAAACUGGGGCUAAUACCGGAUAGGAGCUCCUGCUGCAUGGUGGGGGUUGGAAAGUUUCGGCGGUUGGGGAUGGACUCGCGGCUUAUCAGCUUGUUGGUGGGGUAGUGGCUUACCAAGGCUUUGACGGGUAGCCGGCCUGGGAGGGUGACCGGCCACAUUGGGACUGAGAUACGGCCCAGACUCCUACGGGAGGCAGCAGUGGAGAAUAUUGCACAGUGGGCGGAAGCCUGAUGCAGCAACGCCGCGUGCGGGAUGACGGCCUUCGGGUUGUAAACCACUUUCGCCUGUGACGAAGCGUGAGUGACGGUAAUGGGUAAAGAAGCACCGGCUAACUACGUG